GAAUAGUUGGUGAAAAAGCAAAGAGGAAGAAGAAGAAGUAUAAUAAGAUGAUAAUAAUAGGGAAGAAAGAGACAUGGUAACCACCAAAAAAAGAAAAGAAAAUAAAGACAGAAAAGAAGCUUGGUAAGGAGGUGGUGGUGGUGGGGAAGAGAGAAGAAGAAGAGAUUAGUUAGGUGAUAAAAGUAUGUGCACCAUAUAGAUGGAUAGAUAGAUAAAUAGAUAUGUGUGGGAUCAUUGAAGAGGAACAUUGAAAACACAUGGAGCAGACGUCAAAUGUAGGAAGUUGUCGUUCCUCUUCCGAUGGAAACUCGCGACACCAAUUACAGGCACCCAGCCCACCAACACUAAAUACACCCUUCAUCACUUGUCUCACG
rnacentral:lncRNA from 1 species